UUUUGAUUGUUGCUCAGAAAGCCGUGCCAUUUCGCUAUUGUUUGGCUGAACGCCGAAAACAUAUACAAACUGGCUUUCGAGAAAUAAUCAGAAUC
rnacentral:pre_miRNA from 1 species